ensembl:lncRNA
AUGGCUCCAUGUGCCACGGCGUCAGGGUCCUUUCCCGAUUUAGUGGAGUGGCCAUGGCCUGCAGAUGCAGGAGAGCAUAUCCCAAGCCAAGGCUGGCUGGGCAAGCGCCUCCUUGGGCCUUUGGUGUAUCCCAGCAAGAACCACAGAGGGAAGGAGACCUGGAGAGUGCACCCCAGUCUGGCUGGAGGAAAUGGAAAGCUUUGCGUCUUCAGACUCUAUAGACGCCACCUAGUGGGCAAACAACUCGUUCACACUCAGCACGCAACUGUGGCUGGCCCAGGUUUGAUAUUUCAUAUUUACUUUGCUUCACCUGCCAAAUGCAGGGGUGUAAAUGGUGUUUUAGUCCCUCAAAGGCUGCCAUCCAUUGGCGUAGAGGCAGCAGCUGAUUUAGGCUAGUGGAAAGUGGCCCAGGAGUGCCAGGGACCCCUGAGAGCUGGGAUAGACACAGGGAACUCAGCAGCUGCCAGACUUAAGGCAGGAGUCUGGAACCCAAGAGGCAGAAGACUGUCCGGGGUCUACAGCUGUCGGUGGUUAGCAACAAGCUGAGGGCCUGGAAUCUGGGGCAUCUGAUGCGGUAGGUUGGAACUCUUAAGGCAGAAGUCUGACAUUUAGAAGGUCAUUAUUAUUUCAAGACAGUGGCACCAGCUGGCAGAAAUACAGUGGUGAGAUUCAUCCUAGGCAAGGACUGUCCGCUGACCAUUCUGUAUUUUAUUUCAAUAUGGGUACAUUCUGGGUCUGGAAAAGAUUUGGGCGGACCACAGGAGCCUGGGCAUAAGGAAUAUUUCAAUCAGUCUGAAUUUUUUUAAGUUGAGGUAUAAUCAACAUACAACAUUAUAUUAGUUUCAGAGGUACUCCGUGAUUUGACAUUUAUUUUUUAUUUUUUUUUAAAUUUUUUUAACGUUUAUUUAUUUUUGAGACAGAGAGAGACACAGCAUGAACGGGGGAGGGAUAGAGAGAGAGGGAGACACAGAGUCGGAAGCAAGCCCCAGACUCUGAGCCAUCAGCCCAGAGCCCGACGCGGGGCUCGAACUCGCGGACCACGAGAUCGUGACCUGAGCCGAAGUCGGACGCUUAACCGACUGAGCCACCCAGGCACCCCAUUGACAUUUAUAUAUAUUAUAUAUUUGUAACCACCACAGUAAGUCUAGUUAAAUAUCUGCUACCUUACAUGGUUAAAAUUUUUUUGUGAUCAGAACUUUAAAGAUUUAUUCUCUUAGCAGUCUUCAAAUAUGCAAUACAGUAUUAUUAACUAUAGUCACUAUACUGUACCUUACAUCCCAAGACUGAUAUAUUUUGUAACUGGAAGCUUGUACCUUUUGAUCCUUUUACCCAUUUUUCCCAUCCUCCACGCCCUGCCACUGACAGCCACCAAUCUGUUCUCUGUAUUUAUGAGCUUGGGUCUUGUUUUUCAGAUUUUACAUAUAAGUAUAGUAUUUAUCUUUGUCUGACUUACUUCACUUAGCAUAAUGCCCUCAAGGCCCAUCCAUAUCAUUGCAAAUGGCAAGAUUACCUCUUUCUUAUGGCUGAAUAAAACUCCAAUGUGUAGUUAUACUACA